CAGUCGCCGCGGUAAUACAGAGGGUGCGAGCGUUAAUCGGAUUUACUGGGCGUAAAGCGUGCGUAGGCGGCUUUUUAAGUCGGAUGUGAAAUCCCUGAGCUUAACUUAGGAAUUGCAUUCGAUACUGGGAAGCUAGAGUAUGGGAGAGGAUGGUAGAAUUCCAGGUGUAGCGGUGAAAUGCGUAGAGAUCUGGAGGAAUACCGAUGGCGAAGGCAGCCAUCUGGCCUAAUACUGACGCUGAGGUACGAAAGCAUGGGGAGCAAACAGGAUUAGAUACCCGCGUAGUCCCUGUCACUUAUAC
rnacentral:rRNA from 1 species